AAAAAGAAAAGAAAGGAGGUGUGUGAUUGUCCCCCCCCAUUGCCGUGAGUGAAGAAAAGAAAAAAAAAAUUUGUUCAUCCUCUUUCAUUUCUUUUGGCCGAAAAUUCUAAGGAAGAAGGAAGGAGUUCUUGCUUCAUGUUCGGUUGGUUGGUGUUUAGGAGGAGGAAAUGUUGAAGAGAUUCGGCCAUGCUUGUAGCUAGGUUAAGCUCAAGAGCUUAGAGGACCAAAGUUGGAUAAAGGAAAGGAAAAAGUGAUGGAAUAGCC
rnacentral:lncRNA from 1 species